rnacentral:rRNA from 1 species
GACGAACGCUGGCGGCGUGCUUAACACAUGCAAGUCGAACGAUGAAGGAGAGCUUGCUCUCCGGAUUAGUGGCGAACGGGUGAGUAACACGUGACUAACCUGCCCCUUUCUCUGGGAUAACGCUCCGAAAGGAGUGCUAAUACCGGAUACGAACUCUGAACACAUGUUCGGAUUUGGAAAGUUUUUCGGAAAGGGAUGGAGUCGCGGCCUAUCUGCUUGUUGGUGAGGUAACGGCUCGCCAAGGCGACGACGGGUAGCCGGCCUGAGAGGGCGACCGGCCCCGCUGGGACUGAGAGACGGGCCGGAAUCCUACGGGAGGCAGCAGUGGGUAAUAUUGCACAAUGGGCGCAAGCCUGAUGCAGCGACGCCGCGUGAGGGAUGAAGGUCUUCGGAUUGUAAACCUCUUGCAGUAGGGACGAAGCGAAAGUGACGGUACCUAAAGAAGAAGCACCGGCUAACUACGUGCCAGCCGCCGCCGUAA